rnacentral:rRNA from 1 species
AACGCUAGCUACAGGCUUAACACAUGCAAGUCGAGGGGCAGCAUGGUCUUAGCUUGCUAAGGCCGAUGGCGACCGGCGCACGGGUGAGUAACACGUAUCCAACCUGCCGUCUACUCUUGGACAGCCUUCUGAAAGGAAGAUUAAUACAAGAUGGCAUCAUGAGUCCGCAUGUUCACAUGAUUAAAGGUAUUCCGGUAGACGAUGGGGAUGCGUUCCAUUAGAUAGUAGGCGGGGUAACGGCCCACCUAGUCUUCGAUGGAUAGGGGUUCUGAGAGGAAGGUCCCCCACAUUGGAACUGAGACACGGUCCAAACUCCUACGGGAGGCAGCAGUGAGGAAUAUUGGUCAAUGGGCGAGAGCCUGAACCAGCCAAGUAGCGUGAAGGAUGACUGCCCUAUGGGUUGUAAACUUCUUUUAUAAAGGAAUAAAGUCGGGUAUGGAUACCCGUUUGCAUGUACUUUAUGAAUAAGGAUCGGCUAACUCCGUGCCAGCAGCCGCGGUAAUACGGAGGAUCCGAGCGUUAUCCGGAUUUAUUGGGUUUAAAGGGAGCGUAGAUGGAUGUUUAAGUCAGUUGUGAAAGUUUGCGGCUCAACCGUAAAAUUGCAGUUGAUACUGGAUAUCUUGAGUGCAGUUGAGGCAGGCGGAAUUCGUGGUGUAGCGGUGAAAUGCUUAGAUAUCACGAAGAACUCCGAUUGCGAAGGCAGCCUGCUAAGCUGCAACUGACAUUGAGGCUCGAAAGUGUGGGUAUCAAACAGGAUUAGAUACCCUGGUAGUCCACACGGUAAACGAUGAAUACUCGCUGUUUGCGAUAUACGGCAAGCGGCCAAGCGAAAGCGUUAAGUAUUCCACCUGGGGAGUACGCCGGCAACGGUGAAACUCAAAGGAAUUGACGGGGGCCCGCACAAGCGGAGGAACAUGUGGUUUAAUUCGAUGAUACGCGAGGAACCUUACCCGGGCUUAAAUUGCAGAUGAAUUACGGUGAAAGCCGUAAGCCGCAAGGCAUCUGUGAAGGUGCUGCAUGGUUGUCGUCAGCUCGUGCCGUGAGGUGUCGGCUUAAGUGCCAUAACGAGCGCAACCCUUGUUGUCAGUUACUAACAGGUUCCGCUGAGGACUCUGACAAGACUGCCAUCGUAAGAUGUGAGGAAGGUGGGGAUGACGUCAAAUCAGCACGGCCCUUACGUCCGGGGCUACACACGUGUUACAAUGGGGGGUACAGAGGGCCGCUACCACGCGAGUGGAUGCCAAUCCCCAAAACCUCUCUCAGUUCGGACUGGAGUCUGCAACCCGACUCCACGAAGCUGGAUUCGCUAGUAAUCGCGCAUCAGCCACGGCGCGGUGAAUACGUUCCCGGGCCUUGUACACACCGCCCGUCAAGCCAUGGGAGCCGGGGGUACCUGAAGUGCGUAACCGCGAGGAGCGCCCUAGGGUAAAACUGGUGACUGGGGCUAAG